CAGUCGCCGCGGGAAUACAGAGGGUGCGAGCGUUAAUCGGAUUUACUGGGCGUAAAGCGUGCGUAGGCGGCUUUUUAAGUCGGAUGUGAAAUCCCUGAGCUUAACUUAGGAAUUGCAUUCGAUACUGGGAAGCUAGAGUAUGGGAGAGGAUGGUAGAAUUCCAGGUGUAGCGGUGAAAUGCGUAGAGAUCUGGAGGAAUACCGAUGGCGAAGGCAGCCAUCUGGCCUAAUACUGACGCUGAGGUACGAAAGCAUGGGGAGCAAACAGGAUUAGAUACCCGCGUAGUUCCUGUCUCUUAUAA
rnacentral:rRNA from 1 species